GUCAAAGUUCACACAGCUGACCUCCCAACAGGACUCUUCCAUGUCGCUGCAGAACCGCCUGAGCAACAUGCCAGCUGAAAAGGUCAGGGGUUAGAGGUCACAAUGAUGAGGAGUGACGUAUCGCCUGUGAAACCCAAAUGUCAACUGCCUAUUAUGUAAAUUGUGUUUUUAUUAAUAAUCAGCAAGAGCUGGUAAAGAUAAGUAGGCCACAACCUGAGGCUGGCUAGUCAAUGGUAUUGUCCUAUAUACAUCAUGGAAUUAAUGGAAUAGGCCCUUAUGACCCAAAACCGUGAGGAGGGCAUACCCAAGCUGGCGGAGCUGUAUCAACAACCAGGGUUCAGAGACGACAUGCCCGUGCCCCUGCCACACAGCACCGCCUUCUCUACCAUUGUCAUCCACGUAGUGAGGGCACAGCCACAACUCACCCACAAGAUACAGCACUGCCCCGUCUGUCAGGAAGCUCCUCAUACUCAAAUAUGACGUCCUGAAUUUAAGCAUAGGUUUGAGUCUUUUCUGCUCUAUCCAACACGUCUGGUUUUAUGAGACAAUUGUGGAGUGUUGAAUCUGAAACAGUAGUUUUAUACUCAGGCAAUAUAGCUGUUUAACAUUCAUUUUAAUGUUCAAUAUUCCACAGUGGAUUUUG
rnacentral:lncRNA from 8 species